rnacentral:lncRNA from 1 species
AUUCACCUGUAGGCCAGUGGAGGCUGUCCUAGGCAUAAGCUCCUGAUGGGCUGUCCCAAGCAUAAGCUCCUGACGGGCUGUUCUACAUGACAAGACUAGUCUAUACCAUAUCUCUCUUUUUCAUUUAAUCAUUAUAUGUUGAUUUCAUCAAAUCAAUUUUGACUUACAUUAUGCUUAAUUUAGAUAUGUCAUAUCCAUAUAAUCAUGCUAUCAAUCUCUGAUACAUAUAUAUUGAUAUAACAUACUUAUGCUCAAAAUCAUAUAAGCAAAUAAUGGUGUCUCGGAUAUAGCAAAUUCAUCGAUCUCAAAUCCAACAAUGCAA